CCUACGGGAGGCAGCAGUGGGGAAUUUUGGACAAUGGGGGCAACCCUGAUCCAGCCAUUCCGCGUGUGCGAUGAAGGCCUUCGGGUUGUAAAGCACUUUUGGCAGGAAAGAAAUCGCACGGGUUAAUAACCCGUGUGGAUGACGGUACCUGCAGAAUAAGCACCGGCUAACUACGUGCCAGCAGCCGCGGUAAUACGUAGGGUGCAAGCGUUAAUCGGAAUUACUGGGCGUAAAGCGUGCGCAGGCGGUUCGGAAAGAAAGGUGUGAAAUCCCAGGGCUUAACCUUGGAACUGCACUUUUAACUCCCGAGCUAGAGUAUGUCAGAGGGGGGUGGAAUUCCGCGUGUAGCAGUGAAAUGCGUAGAUAUGCGGAGGGACACCAAUGGCGAAGGCAGCCCCCUGGGAUGAUACUGACGCUCAUGCACGAAAGCGUGGGGAGCAAACAGGAUUAGAUACCCUGGUAGUCCACGCCCUAAACGAUGUCAACUAGCUGUUGGGGGCCUCGGCCCUUAGUAGCGCAGCUAGCGCGUGAGUAGACCGCCGUCGGGAGGUACGGUCGCGAGAGUUAAACGUACAAUAGAAGUAGACGGCGUGAGACGUGACCGACGGACGACGACGACGGGAGGUUAGG
rnacentral:rRNA from 1 species